UGUGACUUCCUACAAAAUUUAUAUACAUUUAAGUUAUUGGCUAUAAAUGAUUGGUGUACCAUUUUCGCAGAUAAACCGACUACUGGAGAUACCGGAAAAAGUGAAAAAAGUAAUCUAGAUUGUACAACUGAAUUGAAUAGGAAUGGG